rnacentral:lncRNA from 1 species
UGCGUUUUCUCUUUCGGUUUCACUUUGGUACUUGCUGGAAAGACUGCUGCCACGCCUGGCUAGGUUGCCCUAGACAGUAUUACUUAAAUCUAAUGCUCCUGCCUCUCCUUUCUAUAUGCUGAAAUUAUAGCAGGUGAGAGGAUUUGCUCUUCGAAGAGAUGCAUGUGUCUUAGAGGGUUUUUGUUAGCUGCUUUGUGUGAAGAAUAGAGAAGAUGGCUAGUUUGAUACUUAUUUGGAAGAUGCUGACAGACUUAACAAGUAGAACAAAAAAGUUUCAUUGCAAAGAGGUGAGCUGUGGAAAAUGAAGUAGUAAAUGGAGUCUUAUUCAAAGAGCAUUUUUCUACACCUUCUAAGGGUUUCAAAAACUACAUUGGACAGGAUGAAAGAAAAGGGACUGAAUAAUUUAAAUAUGAAAGUGUCCAGAAGACUCAUGCAUAUGGGAGGAAAAGAGAAGACACAGAUUACUAUGGUCAAGAAUACUGGAAUUCAAGACAUCCAAAGUUCCUGACUGUGCUCUCAAAAGAUGUGACUCAAGAUGCAGAUAGAGAUGGUUGAAGUGUGAGAAGCCAGGGUCUCCAAACAGCCAGGAUGAAGGCUGAAGUUGUUUAGGGAGCACAGACAUGUAAGUGCCAGUGCUUGAGGAGCAACACAUAUGGCUCAAGAAGCAUAUUGCCUAAAGGAAGAAGCUUAAGAAUUUACAGGUAAUAAAUGGUAUAAACAAUGUCAUAAACAUUCCUAAACCCUUCCUUGUAUCUUGACUCUGCUAAAUGACAUAACCUGGCAAGAUCAGAAGAAUCCAGUACACUAAAAGGCAAACAAACAAGAUAAUU